CACGUAGGGCGCGAGCGUUGUCCGGAAUUAUUGGGCGUAAAGCGCGCGUAGGCGGUUACUCAAGUCGGAUGUGAAAGCCCUCGGCUUAACUGAGGAAGUGCACCCGAAACUGAGUAGCUAGAGUACUAAAGAGGGUCGCGGAAUUCCCGGUGUAGAGGUGAAAUUCGUAGAUAUCGGGAGGAACACCGGUGGCGAAGGCGGCGACCUGGGUAGAUACUGACGCUGAGGCGCGAAAGCGUGGGGAGCAAACAGG
rnacentral:rRNA from 1 species